CGGUUGUUGCAGGUGAGUCAAUUAAUUGUAGGCCUUUAUUCUCCGUCGCUGCGGUGUAUAGGUUACUAUGGGUUGAGGCUGUGUGUUUUUAGCGAGAUACCUUAGUUAUGCAUGCAAAAUAGGAAUUAUGUUACAGAAGAUGAGAGGUUACAGGUCCCAGCUUUCAUUCAAUUACUCAGCUGGUUACGACUGCGUUUGUUGGUUGCAUUAAAAGGGGUCAACCUUCUUUUUUCCCCUCAGUGAUUUUUUCGUUCGAAUAUUUCGUUAUUUCCUGUCUAAGGCUUAUCAGUGAGUGGGUCGAGUACAACAUGGGUGUCAGCUGCCAGUCGUAGAUCCAAACCAAGGCUUGAAUUCAGGAAAUUCAGAGCGCGAUUAUUUCAGUGAACUACUGCCAACUCAUAUUGGAUCACCACGUAACAUUAGUCAAACACAACUUUUCGAGUGAUGAUAAGGCAGUUUAGACAUAUCUUCUGGGACUUAAGUACAACAUUACGGAUGACUGUUACUCAACCCAACACUACCAACAGUCUUCUUCGGUACACCGAUCGUAUCCUUUGCACUAUCGUCAUCAACAAUCAAGUUGCUCAACAAUAUUCGGAGCAGUGAAAAACGAUUGGUUUCCUUUCAUCGAUCAGGAAUGUAGUCGUCACUCGUCAGUUGCUUUUUCCAUCGUCCUUUUACCGUGAUUUGUCUUCUACCAUCCUGUAACUCCAUUGUGAAUUCCCGCUACAGAAUCUUUCCCUUUCUCUUUUUUGCUAGGCUGAAUUGGGGCGUCAAUUGAUACUGUCUCUAAAAAUACCAAUUAAAAUAAACAUCGCUUAGUUAAACAAUAAGACAAAAAAGCAAAUAAAAACAUAUUUAAGAAAUAUAAAAGGCAUUGUAUUAUUACAUGAAUAAAAAUUCAAAAACUUGCAAAAACAUUAUUAAAAUACGUAAUGAUGACAACGUCUGGAUUCAUCAUAUGAUUUAGCAUGGAGAACAAGCUAGAAAUUCAAUUCAAGUUUUAUCUUUCUCUCCCGUAUUGUUUACUGGCUACCUACGAAAAUGCAUUGUAAAUGGAACUCCCCCUGACAAAAGUAGUAUGAUCCACCAAUCAGAAUAAUAAUGCACUUAAAGUGAUUUAUUUCCAUUAAAGAUGGACGACAUCUUAGAGCAUUAUUUGAACAAGAAAAAAAAAACUUUGAAUGACAAAGACGGCGAAA